rnacentral:rRNA from 1 species
GAUGAACGCUGGCGGCGUGCCUAAUACAUGCAAGUCGAGCGACCGGACGAGAAGCUUGCUUCUCUGAUGUUAGCGGCGGACGGGUGAGUAACACGUGGAUAACCUACCUAUAAGACUGGGAUAACUUCGGGAAACCGCAGCUAAUACCGGAUAAUAUUUUGAACCGCAUGGUUCAAAAGUGAAAGACGCUCUUGCUGUCACUUAUAGAUGGAUCCGCGCUGCAUUAGCUAGUUGGUAAGGUAACGGCUCACCAAGGCAACGAUGCAUAGCCGACCUGAGAGGGUGAUCGGCCACACUGGAACUGAGACACGGUCCAGACUCCUACGGGAGGCAGCAGUAGGGAAUAUUCCGCAAUGGGCGAAAGCCUGACGGAGCAACGCCGCGUGAGUGAUGAAGGUCUUCGGAUCGUAAAACUCUGUUAUUAGGGAAGAAAAUAUGUGUAAGUAACUGUGCACAUCUUGACGGUACCUAAUCAGAAAGCCACGGCUAACUACGUG